rnacentral:rRNA from 1 species
AUUGAACGCUGGCGGCAGGCCUAAUACAUGCAAGUCGAACGAGUGGCGGACGGGUGAGUAAUGUCUGGGAAACCGCCCGAUGGAGGGGGAUAACUACUGGAAACGGUAGCCAAUACCGCAUACCAUCAGAUGUGCCCAGAUGGGAUUAGCUAGUUGGUGGGGUAACGGCUCACCUAGGCGACGAUCCCUAGCUGGUCUGAGGGGAUGACCAGCCACACUGGAACUGAGACGCUGUCCAGACUCCUACGGGGGGCAGCUGUGGGGAAUAUCGCACAAUGGGCACAUGCCUGAGGCAGCCAUGCCGCGUGUAUGGAGAAGGCCUUCGGGUUGAAAAGUACUUUCAGCGGGGAGACGUUACCCGCAGAAGAAGCACCGCCUAACACCGGGCCAGCAGCCGCGUAAUAC